CUUUCAUCCAUUGAUACAUAAUAUAUGAAGCAACAAAAACUCCAAAGAAGAAGAAAUUUGAGAGAGAAGUAAAACCCUAGUUUUGCUUUAAAUUACAAAGCCUCAAAUCACCACCACCGCUGCUCGCCGGCCAUUUUUCCGGUGUUGUAUCUGCUUCCGCAAAUUCUGCGUGUUGUGUUCUGUUGGUUCACGGAAUCUCAAAAGAUAACAAAGGGAGCGGCAAUGUCGUCUUCUGCUGUGUCGGUUCGUGAUAACGUGAUCAAUUUGGAAGUUCGUGAAAGAUCAAUCCGUUCAGAAGGUGAAUCUCUCAAUAAGUUGGAUGACGAUACACUUGUUCAAAUUCUUUGUGGUUUACCCCUCAAAGAUGCGGCAAGAACGAGUGUCCUUUCACGCAGAUGGAGGCACUUAUGGCGCCGUUCACUCAUGUAUCCGUUGAAUAAUAUGUAAAUUUCCGUCAAGAACCAAAUGCAAGUACUAUGACCCGUAAUUGAAUCUUGAGAUGAUGUUUAUAAAACAGAUGUUGGUGAAGAUAAUAGAGAAAGCAGAGGAAGAUAGUAAAGUUACCUUUAGGUGAUUUACAUGAAAAUGUUCAUAGCUAAAAUGUUUUAGAUACUUUUUGUUGUUCUUAGGUAUG